GGGCUGCAGAAGUGGAAACCAUUAACUCUGGCUCCUGAACCACAGAGGAAGGUGGUGGUGCUGGAGAAGAAAGAGGAGGAGGCGUUUGGCUUUGAAAUCCAGACGUACGGGCUGCACCAUGAGGACCAGAACUCGGUGGAGAUGUGCACGUUUGUGUGCAAAGUGCACGAGGACAGCCCGGCGCAGGAGGCGGGACUUAAAGUCGGGGACACCAUCUCCAGUGUGAACGAGGAGACGGUGGAGGGAUUUCGGCACAAGGAGAUCGUGCAGCUCAUCAGAGCCUGCGGAAACACA